CGCAAUAAUGAUGCUAGCAUAGCAAUCACUACAACAUUACCAGACAUCAGUUCUCGCACACUGUUAAAGUGGGCAUAUUCUCUGCCAAUACAUGCAUGGUUGUGCUACCUCUGAAUCCAAAGUGGUCACACUGACCUCAUAGUCAGAGUUGUGUACGUUAUUGAUUAAAUUGAUUAUCUACAGGUACUACACACAUUUGGCAUCCCAAUAAAUAUACAUUAGGGGUAAUUUAUUUAUUUCAAGUGGUGGAAAAUCAAGAUGUUAUGAGAGACUAAGGGGAUCUGCUUGAGGAGUCCAUGUUGUGUGUGCUCCAAACGCUCUCUGUGUAACAGUUGAAAAUGUUUCACUCCAAACAUAUUGCUAAAAUAGGGCCUUAGAAACUGGUAAAUGUUGUUUUAAACUGAUUUUUGGAAAGAAAAAAAUGGUGUAUCUAGGGUGCCUGAAAGGAAAUGUUGCACUGGGUCUCACAGGGUUAAUCCCGGUUUGGUUAUUACACUACCAUGGAGUGUUCCACUUUCACAGUUUCAAAAUGUCCCCAUGAAUGUCCUUGAGAGUGUCCAUAAGCAUGCAGAAAGUAGGGAAGCGUAUUAAAGCAGUGCAACAUAGGCCGGAAGUGAGCGUGGUGAAAACCGGGAGUGGGUGGUGUUUAACACGGAAGCUGCAUUCAAUGCCAAAAAUCCCAGAUUUUUACUGUUAUAAUCACUGGCACUGCUAUUGUUGAGAUAUGAAAGAAAAGUAUGUUCAUGGCGUUAAAGUGACAAAACAAGCUGUGGUUUGGUAUUUUCCUUCAUUAAUUUUUUGUGUGACUGUAACCUGCCCAUGUAUGUAACAUUUGUUGUUUAAAGUAGCUGACCAUCAUCUUUAGACUAGACAUUGAAGAAUGAUUUAAUACAUCUCUUCAUUUUAAUCUGGUAGUGAGUUGUACAUUUUAAUAAAGGUUAAUCCAACAGGUUGCUCUGCCUACCAACAAAUUCAGCAAUUUAAUUGAUAAUUGAUAUCUUUGAUAAUAAUUACCAAAUUCAAUAAAAUAUAUUUUAUUUGUUGUAUUGGUACACUUGUGUUUGACUGUCCCAACAAUACAAUCAGCUAUGCGUUUGAGUCUUUGAAUUUAUGGAGAAAUACUUGGAAGGAUUGAAUUUUGUUAUUAUUUACUUGUAAUAUGAAGUUGUGUUCUAUAUUUUUUGCAAUCCUUUUGAAUGUAGAAGGUGACAUUACCGAUAAAUAAUGUUACUCUUUUACACUUUGAGCAACAAGACAGUGUCCUGCUUAUUUGGUCUGCUUCUUGCUGCUAAAAUUAAAGGGAAAAGAUUCAAUGAUCUUGAG